rnacentral:rRNA from 1 species
UACAGAGGGGGCAAGCGUUAUCCGGAAUUAUUGGGCGUAAAGAGCUCGUAGGCGGUUUGUCGCGUCUGCUGUGAAAGACCGGGGCUCAACUCCGGUUCUGCAGUGGGUACGGGCAGACUAGAGUGCAGUAGGGGAGACUGGAAUUCCUGGUGUAGCGGUGAAAUGCGCAGAUAUCAGGAGGAACACCGAUGGCGAAGGCAGGUCUCUGGGCUGUAACUGACGCUGAGGAGCGAAAGCAUGGGGAGCGAACAGG